rnacentral:rRNA from 1 species
GGACGUAAAAGAUUGUGAAUGGCACCCCUUCCCGUGAAUCAUCGAAUCUUUGAACGCAAAUUGCACUCCCUGGUAUUCCGGGGAGUAUGCCUGUUUGAGGGUCUUUA